rnacentral:lncRNA from 1 species
AAUUCUCAAAACUUUCAGCUAGUAAGAGGAGAUGAGAAACCAAACACUAUCGUCAUUUAAGCUUUAAUUUAUUCCUACCUCAUCAUUAAUAAAUAAUGAUUACAAAAAUGAAAAAAAUAAAAAUAAAAAAUAAAUAAAUGCAGAAUUUUGUAGCUUCAGUAAUGUGCAUAUUUAAAGUUCUAAGAUUAUUGUUUUACGUGAAAUACAUUUAAAUCAUGAAUGAAUUACCUUAAUUAAUUAGUGUGAUUGCGGUUCUGGGACUGUUUUAGAGCACGCGCGUCCCUUAAGAGCCACCGUCGUUUAUGUUAGGCGCGCUUUCCACAAGGGGCAAGGAACUCGACCGGAAGUUGAAGUCGGGUGGGGGCUGCCAUCUUUUAGCAGAACUUCACUUGCGUUAGCAUUCCCAUUGACCGCCAUUCAUUUUGGCGUCACUUUGACAGCGAAUAACUUUACAUCUGAGGCGUUUAAAGACUCUGUUUGUCCAUUAUUUAUUUCUAAAGAUACACGACAAUGUAUAAAGGGCUCCAUUACCUUCUAUGUUACAUUAUGUAUGUAUAAACAGUUUUUGUAAAAAAUAGGCUAACGAUUGCAUCAUAACCACUCGGCUCGCUGUCGCACUACCGUACAGACAGGAGGAGAAGCUCGCAGGCAAUUAACUUAAUAUGGCGUACUGUCGUUACAUUUUAAAAUACUAUACAAAAUAAUUAAUCAGAAUACUCACUCACGACAAAGAACUCCCCGCUCAAGCUCGCCGUCUCUGCAAGAUUAACGAUGGCAGUUUGCACGCACAGCUACUAGAACAUGUACAUCUGUCAGACAGGUUGCUGACGUCGUCAAGCUUCGUUUGCGCGUCAGAAACGGAAGUGCUAAAAAACGCUAAAACUGGGCUUCAUUUGUCUCAAUUGAGUUCCAAUGGGGUCGCUGUGUCCAUUUCUUUUACUGUCUAUGGCAUUCCAAUCCUUUCUUCCUGAAUCGAAGCGAAGUGGUUUUGUUGCAACACUUUGCAUGCUUGUAGUGCAGAGACGGACAGUUUCAUGUCAGCAUCAUUUGGAGACAACAGCUUGUACUGUGACCUCAAGACGAACACCACUCCAGAGACACACCCUCUUUAGAGAGAGGGAGGGAGAAAACAUUUGAGAGAAAAGAAAAGAAGGAAGCCCCAUUAAGAAAACGUCACACCUGGAGCUGAGACACCUGACACUAGCCUCUGUUUCCCCCGUCGGCAAGUAAGAAGUUCACUCAGUCGCCAGACGUCUGCUGUAACUUGAAGCAGGUGGCGAGAUGCAGUACCCCAGUGCUGGGACUCUUCACUGUCGCGUAAAGGGAUGGUUUAAUUUGAUAAAAGGGGUUGGAGAUUAAAACGACCUGAAUGGAGGUCCUCUAAAGGCAGGCCUUGAUUUAUGAUUCUAGCAGGCAGUGGUGGCAGCAUGACAAAUAACCUGCGGAAGAAUUGGAAUGUCAUUUCUCUCCUCAAAUUUGGAUGCAUUCGAAAUAAGAUGCUAUGCUCUCAGAUGUAGGACUGCAGUGACGAGGUCUGUCGGACACCAUUGCUGUAAUGUUGACCUAUUCGACUCGUGUUCUGAGCUUCAUUAACAAGGAACCUGUGUGCAUGCAUGUGUGGAUUUGCAAGGGUGUUAAAGCCAAGCCUAUUGCAGGUGCACUAUACUCAAUCCCACCCAACAUCACAUGUUCAAUAUCAGUCAUCUUAAUGCCCACUUGACAUGGUGCAUUAGAGUUAGCUGAACAGUCCACAUGUAUUUCCAAUUAUUCUCUACAGCCCUAGAAUUUGGUACAAUGACC